rnacentral:rRNA from 1 species
AGUGAACGCUGGCGGUAGGCCUAACACAUGCAAGUCGAACGGCAGCACAGUAAGAGCUUGCUCUUACGGGUGGCGAGUGGCGGGCGGGUGAGGAAUACAUCGGAAUCUACUUUUUCGUGGGGGAUAAUGUAGGGAAACUUACGCUAAUACCGCAUACGACCUACGGGUGAAAGCAGGGGAUCUUCGGACCUUGCGCGAUUGAAUGAGCCGAUGUCGGAUUAGCUAGUUGGCGGGGUAAAGGCCCACCAAGGCGACGAUCCGUAGCUGGUCUGAGAGGAUGAUCCGCCACACUGGAACUGAGACACGGUCCAGACUCCUACGGGAGGCAGCAGUGGGGAAUAUUGGACAAUGGGCGCAAGCCUGAUCCAGCCAUACCGCGUGGGUGAAGAAGGCCUUCGGGUUGUAAAGCCCUUUUGUUGGGAAAGAAAAGCAGCAGGUUAAUACCCCGCUGUUCUGACGGUACCCAAAGAAUAAGCACCGGCUAACUUCGU